ACGGGAUUAGCUCAGUUGGUAGAGCACUGGUCUCCAAAACCAGGUGUCGGGCGUUCGAGCCGCUCAUCCCGUG
rnacentral:tRNA from 1 species